AUCAGAAAGCCACGGCUAACUACGUGCCAGCAGCCGCGGUAAUACGUAGGUGGCAAGCGUURUCCGGAAUUAUUGGGCGUAAAGGGCUCGYAGGCGGUUUUUUAAGUCUGAUGUGAAAGCCCCCGGCUCAACCGGGGAGGGUCAUUGGAAACUGGGAAACUUGAGUGCAGAAGAGGAAAGUGGAAUUCCAYGUGUAGCGGUGAAAUGCGCAGAGAUAUGGAGGAACACCAAUGGCGAAAGCGACUUUCHGGUCUGUAACUGACGCUGAUGUGCGAAAGCGUGGGGAUCAAACAGGAUUAGAUACCCUGGUAGUCCACGCCGUAAACGAUGAGUGCUAAGUGUUAGGGGGUUUCCGCCCCUUAGUGCUGCAGCUAACGCAUUUAGCACUCCGCCUGGGGAGUACGACCGCCAGAUUGAAACUC
rnacentral:rRNA from 1 species